rnacentral:lncRNA from 1 species
UUGCUACUUCCAGAGGAGGAGGAGCUGGAGCAAGCUCGUCCAGCUCACAAUCGCCGCCUCCGUGGUAAAUCAUCGGCAAUCUCCCACGAAGGCACGCGGACUAUCCACGCUCUUGGCUGAAUGUGCAUGUUCCUCCAGAGUCCAGCCGCGAGGAACACAUUGCGGGGCAAUGCAAUCUUGAUGAUCGUGGAGGUAGACUGCACAGCCUGCAAGUCGAUGGUCACGGAGGGAUCUUGAUGAUAAAUGGCUUCAAUAUCUCGGAUUUUGCGGUUCCAGAUCAAGGACGUGAUAAAGGCUGCUUCCUUUCCCUACAGUCCCUGCGAUGACCGGCUCGUCUCACCCACUUCCGGCUCCUUCGAUCUGGAGCGCCACUACUCCCACGAAUCUGCUCAUCCCGGGCCCAACUCGCCCACGAAUCGAUUUCCACGUGGCAUGUCCAGCUGUACUGAACCAUUUGAAUUUAGACGAAGUCAAGUACAUUCCAAACACACUUGUCAGCUUUAUACGUAACUAGUAUUCUUGUCCCGCUACCCCUCAUCCGAUGGGAACACGAAUUUAAUUAACAUCGAGGUUCUCAGUUUCGAUCUGAUGAGAACAUCUGCUGUGUCACCCGACCAUGAAAACUGGUAGACAGCACCAGGAACAUUCAGGACUCCGAGCCUCUGUGUGUCCUCUGGUACCAUGUUGAGGAUAGUAGGCAGGGAAAACAUCACUGAUGUUUGAAGACGCUGGAAUAAAAGAAAAAAAUACAACAUUGAUACAAAUACCAGAUAACUGAUGCCUACCUCGUUCACGAAAAUUGUCAACUCUUUCCCAGCUAACUUACCAGCCGUGCACUUGAUACUCAAAGCAGUUUCCUCCUUGAAUUCAGUGUGUACUGUGGUCCGAACGGCUUCGAUCGAUACGCCAAACACAGUCACGCCGUCUGCCAUCUCCUUGCAUUGUACGCUUCCCUUUCCUGUUGGAUUGUAACGGGAUGCAGGAAGAGACCAAACAAAAUACCUAUAUAAGAACUUGCACGUACCUCCUCGCAUCAACACUGUUGGGAACUUCGCCUCCCCCGAUUUUCUGCUCGUGUCCCCAAACUUGAGUCCUCCAGUAUCAACUGUACCAUCCAUCCUCGAACGGACAAUGUCAAAGACCUCCUCGAUGGUCGAGCAGCUGAUCGAGCCGUUAACGUGAUCCUGCAUCUUGAGAGCAAUCGUCAUCUGAAAAGGCAGGUACGUCCUCUUUUUCUUCCGCUCAGGCAUCUCCUCUUUCUUGAUCCACUCUGGACUUCUCGCUCGCUUCUUCGACUGCUGCUGCAGCGGCUGAUCAUCUGGAACGUCUUCCACCACACACAAGGGUUCUGAAUCCAAAGACUUGCCACCCUCCAUCUUCACUAAAACGGUGUACACUUGGUCUUCCUCCUUCACGCCUUGCAGGCCCGACGGGACGUCAGGAUGCUCCCUUCUGAACGCCAUCAGCGAAGAGCACAAGGCGUCGUAGUCGCUUUUGUUCAUUGCUCUCUGCUUCAGUGCAGUCGAGAUAUGGAAAAGGACGAGUGGGGGGUACACCGAGUCUAUCGGAGGGAAUGUUGCUGGGCUGCUAGGCUGUAGAUAGUGGAGGCCAGGUACUUGCAGGUUGAGACUGUUGCCUGAGAAGAACUUCACGUCACGCUUCUCCAAAUGCAGGCCAAUGGCAGCAUCAUCGACGCUACAGAAGUGACCACCCUGCGAGAGUCGGUGGUGAGCAUAGCGUUCAAACAAGACCCAAGCUGCACUCCGCAGUGAAGGCAGUGCCCGAGUGCACUGCAUCCAGUCCUUGAUCUGUCCCUUGUAGCAUGCAAUGGCGAAACAAUCUACGACCCACUCCGAAGUGAAGGAGAUAUGAUCCACACAGGUAAAGUCCAGACUUGGCCAGGAAACGGAGGUCCCUGGCGAAAAUAAUCCACGGUCAAUGUUGAGCUCUCCCACUUUCACAGCAUGGUUCACAGCCAUGCCUAUCAUGUUGUAUACAAGUUCCAAAGGCAUGAAGUAGUACCUCACGAUUGGCCCGGCUAUGUAGUAAGUCGCCCAGAAGUCGACGUGCGACUUAUCUGCGUUCUCGGGCGCCGAGAAGUAAACCUGCUGCAACUCCUCGACAGACCAAGGAGGCAUGUAGAGCGCAAAGAAGCCUAUCUCAUUGAUGAGUUUGAGCGCGUCCACCCAAUUGCUCUCCUCCGGUGAUGCAAAGAGCACAGUAUGUCUAGCGAAGUUCCCAACAAACUCCUGAUCCGUGAGAAGCCAAGCCCCCGGGAUUUCGUAAUCCUCUUCAGAGACGGGCGCGUAACUCCCAUCCGGUUUGAAGAUGUAAACCCUCUCUUUUAUUUCGACGAGCUGAACUAUCACGGCCGGUAUCCCUUCUUCACUGAGGAGCCGUUUCAGGACGUACCACAGAAAGCACGACUUGCCGAUUCCAGGGUUUCCUGAUAUGUGGAUGUAGCUCUUGCCCAGGCUUGCGAGCUCUCUCAUGUCGGCAUAGAGAUCCUCAUAGCAUUCCCGUAUCCACACUUUCUGCCUCCUCCUGACGAUGGGAGGGAGAUCUAUCCACCUACCAUCAGGGUCUGUCGCUGCACGCCCAUCAUCCCCAACUGGCGCUAUCAAUUCCAUCCGCACCGCUCGGGCCCUAAACCUGAUAUACUCUAGCUCAACUUAGAAAAUAUAUUUGUUUUAAAAAUAAUUAUAUCAAAUCAAACUUUUGUAAACCUUGUUGAGAGAUUCAGCGUGAUGCCAUCAAAUUCAACUUUAUCCAGACCUUUUUGGUUGGCAUGACAUGGUUCCUUUUCUUUUUUAUCUUGUAUGUUUUGUAGAGCCAGAUUUUGCUCUUUGGAAUCCUGCUUAUAUGUGUAUUUGAAAGCCUCCCAAUCUUCCGUGACAGAUUCUGCAAGUUCCAGUAACGCAUCCCACGUAAAGCCUUGAUUGNNNNNNNNNNNNNNNNNNNNNNNNNNNNNNNNNNNNNNNNNNNNNNNNNNNNNNNNNNNNNNNNNNNNNNNNNNNNNNNNNNNNNNNNNNNNNNNNNNNNUGUACAAAAAGACGCCUGUGACACCACCUGAGCUUGCAAGGAUGUCCUGAUGCCCUUCUUUGCAAAACUCUGGUCACAAAAACCAUCAAUUGCUUCGGUUAUAUCACUUACCAUCUUGACUCUUCCUUUGGCCUUAAAGAGGAAUUAGGCAGUAUGGUGAUCAACGUUGCCAAAUCCUUGCAAGACCUCUCAGUCAGAGAAAUAACAGCCCAAGAGAAACAAUGGAAGCUAUAAAUUGUUCUACCUGGAUCACAAAAGAAGUUUGGUUCAAGAGAGAUUUGCCAUGGUUAGCAAGUAAUGCUUCAGUCACGUAUACAACUCCUCUUUCAGUGCCAGCCUCACGUCCUACAGAGCCACUGAGGUCCUGAGAAGCAAAAACAAUAUAAGAGAAAAAAUCACAUAAUCAUAAAAAUACAAGCUUACAAGUUGCUAUCCAGUGACCAUUGUUGGAGAGUACCCUUGAAACUUAGAGUAUUCAUCUAGAAUCCAAGCCAUGGUUUAAAUAUAUGAAAAUCCAUAAAAAAAGGAAGAAAAAAAAUGUUAAAAAAACAUGGGCAUUCAUUCCCAUGUCAGGUGCUGGAAUAUACAAACAUCAACAAUGUUUUGUGUAAAAAGUCAAGUGAGCCACUUUAACUCAUAUGGGGAUUAUAGUCAUAAAGCCCUCUAGUUGUCACAUUAGACUUAAAACCCACAAACAAUUGCAAUGUGCCAUCAUCCUUGGGAAUGGUAUAUUCAACCUGCAAAUUUGAUUAAGAUCCAAAAGACUAAGAAAAAAAAAAAAGAAAAAGACCUUGAAGAAAUUUGCCUUGAUUUCUUGAAAAGGGCAGAAGGCUCCUCCCCAAUUUUGAUUCCAAGUAUCUUUACAGUUUGCCUAAUGUAUCAAUUUGUAGCCUCUAGUGGCCUUAAGAGAGAUUCCCUAAAAUAUUUUACUAUAAAAAUAUUUUAAUGGUAUGAGAGAUAUUUUUAUAUUGCCCCUUUUCCCUUGAAGGAUAAAUCACAAAGUUUAGUUAAGUAUGUUGCCUCCUAUUUGGCAACUCUACUAAAGAAUAUUACUUCAUUCACUAUAGUUUCUUUUCUUGGGUAUAUAUCCUUGCUUUUUGAAAAAAUAAUGAAAAGAUGUUAAAAUAAAAACUAAAAUAAUAGGAACCUUGAUAAAUGGCUAUAUUGAAUAGGAUGAAAAAAAAACACCACUCUAUAUAUACAAAAAAUGCUUGGGCUAAACCUUGAUCAAUGGCUAUAUUGAACAAAAUGAAAAAAACCUCCCCUAUAUAUAAAAGAAAUGUUAAGUAAAUUUAUAGCAAAUGCCUAAAGACUAUUUAUCUCAACACUCCCUCUAGAAGAUCCUAUGAGGAGCAUAAUUUCCCAUAGAUAAUUCGGCCUUUCAUGCCCUGCCAAAAAGUGCACCAGAUCACUGAAAAUUGACUAUGAUAUAAAAGUUUGGCUCAGGCAUCCCAAGGGACAACUGUCACAAGUCCUUCCUCCAAUCAAUGGCAAUUUUGUGCCUCACACACAUGUUUUCAGUUUAAAUCAUUAUCUCAAAUGAGUUAUUAUCUUUAUAUAGUGUAAGGGUAUAUUGAUGGAUAAUUGAUUGGGACAUUGUGGAAAAAAUAACAAGUAUGUAUUAUGUUCAUGUAGUAGAUUAAAACCCAUUGCUUUCUUCCUCUAUAUUGAUUUUUCUAGCACAUUAUUAAAGCUUAUUAUUUAACAUAUGAAGGCUUAAAAUUUUUGUGUGGAUUUUAAGGGAAAGAAGAGUGGGAUAUGAUUGAUUGCUUUAUAACAAAAGCUGGAACACCAAAAGACUGGUGUAUUCUAAGAAAUCAACUACCUAUUUAUUUAUAUUGUUCUUGCAUCUCUUUUUUUUUGGGUUUAAUUUCAUUACAUUAUAAAUUUUGGGAACAGUGGAUCAUGUAAUAGUAGAUAUCGAGGUGAUAGUGAUACCUUUUGUGUACAAUAAAAAAAGUGUAAUUGCACUUUGGUAAUAAUAUGGAUCAUAAAUUAGUAAAAAAAAAAAGAUGAUAUAGUUGCACAUGUUACAUAAAGUGUCUAUUCAUGUGAGAUAUGCUGUGCAAUUAAAACAUGAUUGUAUGCAUAAUAAUUUUGUGUGUAAUUAAAAACAAGAAAUAAGAAUAAUCUGAAUAAAUAAAAACUACUUAUUUUAAUAUCACUGAAGAAAAGAAAGUCCAAAAUGCUUAGGGUAAGAAAGAAAAUGAAAUUUUGUUGAAAUAAAAGUUUGAUUUGAUAUAAAUGUUUUUGAAAAAUAAAAUUUCUAAGUUGGAGCUGAAGUAUAUAUAUAUAUCUAUAUAGAGAGAAUCACACAGGUAUAUUCUCUCUUCAGGGCCCUAGUCAGAGCAUGGUGUGUGGAUGGUAUUUACGCAAGGUCUGCUACUUCUUGCGUGGUUCCUUGUUUCCUAGAUGCAUCUCGGUGUUCAGACCUUCCACUACAACAACAUGAAUAAGACAUUGUUGAUACCUAGGAAAUAUAAGUCGCCAAUCCAGAAAAUGCCAAUAACACCGAUAAAUAUGACUAACUUUAUCAAACUGCCAAUAAUAGAUAUCACGACCAUAACCACAUCCUUGCCCUUGUCUUUGAACUUAAGCAACAGUAACAUCAACUUCCAUUGGAACAAAACCAUUUUUCAUAGGAAAUGGACUCUUGCUUCGUGUAGAGCUAAAUAUAUCAAAGUGAAUCAAGCUAUAAAUGUUGUGGCUAACAUUUUGUCAAGAUUUUGUAGGAUUUGUGCAUGCACUUGCUCUAGCCAUCCUUGACAAUGCCCUUCACUUGACAUAAUGUUAUGAGACAUUGCCUCUUCCACUUCUCACUACACAUCCUUUAGCUUCACUUUCUCGAACGCCAAAUUGCAUUACCGACUCAUAUGGCCCUUGACGAAUAUAAUGUAAUUUUUAGAAGGCAUCAUCACAAUUGUUAGCAUAUUUAAAUGCACGUUUAAAUACGUCCAGGAAAAUAUUCCAACCCUCACAAAUAACUACGCUCAUACCAUUGUACCACUGUAACACCAUCUCUUGGAGAUACGUGGAAAACUUAUGCAAACAUUGAGCAUCAUCCCAAAAAUGAUAUGUGCCAAUUAUCGUGAAGUGAUCAAACCAAUAAUACACAUCAUUCCCAAAAUUCCCACUGAAUAACUCUGGCUGAUAGGGUUUAGGGUUUAGGGCCAAUAUCAAGGACCAUAUAAGUCAGUGAUGCAAUUUGGCGUUCGAGGAAGUAGAGUUGAAGGAUGUGUAGUGAUAAGUGAAAAAAGCAAUGUUUUAUAAUGUUAUGUCAAAUGAAAGGCAUUGUUAAGGAUGGCUAAAGCAAGUGCAUGCACAAAUCCUAGCAGCAGGAGGAGCUGUACCACGUGCUGUGAAUAUUGCCACCAAUUAAGUUUGAUUGUUUAGUUGCAACUAUAUACCAUCAAAUAAUUUCACCAACUACUACUCCAAUCAAAAGAGAAGGAGGUUUUUACUCUACCACGUAGAUGAAUGAAAAUAAAUAAAUAAAAGAAAAGAAGUUGAGAAAAGCUAAAAGAAAAGGGAAAUCUAAACAAUGGAUCUACCCAACAUUCUAAUUAAAAUUUCUUUUCAUCUCCAUCAGUGCGAAUGCGUGGAAUAAGGAAAGAGAAUAUAAAAAAUCUGUAUAUCAAUUAGCCAAGAAACCUUAGUUUAUGUAUUAAUCAAAAUUGAAACUAACCCGAUGGCUAUUAAAAUCCCAAAUAUUAAUAUAUAACAUCAUAAUUGUACACUUAGACCUCACAAGGAGUGCUGUGCCACAACUCUGACAGUUGUAUAUAUAUGGCAAUGGUACAUUAUUUUCUCUUCCUUUCUUUUGUUUUGGUUUGCAGUCUAAACUAGUAGAUGACUUGAUACAAACUCCAUGUCCUGAGACCUUAGCCCUCGACUGCACUAAACGUCUCGUGAUGACAAAAAUAGCAAAGUGAUGAGAUUAUUUUAUUUGUUUACAGCCUCUUUUCUAAUUUCUCAGAGCGCUCAAAUGAUGCACCUAAACGAAAGUUGAGAAGUUGGAAAACACUUAAGCGAGAGUGUCUCUAGAGAGUGUGCCGCAGCUCUCUACCUCAAGUUGGCCAUCGUGCUUGCUUCUUCCAGAGGAGGAGGAGCUGGAGCGAGCUCGUCCAGUUCUUCCAGCUCACAAUCGCCACCUCUGUGGUAAAUCAUCGGCAAUCUCCCACGAAGGCAUGCGGACUAUCCACGCUCUUGGCUGAAUGUGCAUGUUCCUCCAGAGUCCAGCACACAAUCUUGAUGAUUGUGGAGGUAGACUGCACAGCCUGCAAGUCGAUGGUCACGGAGGGAUCUUAAUGAUAAAUGGCUUCAAUAUCUCGGAUUUUGCGGUUCCAGAUCAAGGACGUGAUAAAGGCUGCUUCCUUUCCCUACAGUCCCUGCGAUGACCGGCUCGUCUCACCCACUUUCGGCUCCUUCGAUAUGGAGCGCCACUACUCCCACGAAUCUGCUCGUCCCGGGCCCAGCUUGCCCACAAAUCGAUUUCCACGUGGCAUGUCCAGCUGUACUGAACCAUUUGAAUUUAGACGAAGUCAAGUACAUUCCAAACACACUUGUCAGCUUUAUACAUAACUAGUCUUCUUAUCCCGCUACCCCUCAUCCGAUGGGAACACGAAUUUAAUUAAUGUCGAGGUUCUCAGUUUCGAUCUGAUGAGAACAUCUGCUAUGUCACCUGACCAUGAAAACUGGUAGACAACACCAGGAACAGUCAAGACUCCGAGCCUCUGUGUGUCCAUGUUGAGGAUAGCAGGCAGAGAAGACAUCACAUGUGUUCGAAGACGCUGGAAUAAAAAACAAAAAAUACAACAUUGACACAAAUACUAGAUAACUGAUGCCUACCUCGUUCACAAAAAUUGUCAACUCUUUCCCAGCUAGCUUACCAGCCGUGCACUUGAUACUCAAAGCAGUUUCCUCCUUCAAUUCAGUGUGUACUGUGGUCCGAACGGCUUCGAUCGAUAUGCCAAACACAGUCACGCCGUCUUCCAUCUCCUUGCAUUGUACACUUCCCUUUCCUGUUGGAUUGUAACGGGAUGCAGCAAGAGACCAAACAAAAUACCCAUAUAAGAACUUGCACGUACCUCCUCGCAUCAACACUGUUGGGAACUUCGCAUCCCCCGAUUUUUUGCUCAUGUCCCCAAACUUGAGUCCUCCAGUAUCAACUGUACCAUCCAUCCUCGAACGGACAAUGUCAAAGAUCUCCUCGAUGGUCGAGCAGCUGAUCGAGCAGUUAACGUGAUCCUGCAUCUCGAGAGCAAUCGUCAUCUCGAAAGGCAGGUACGUCCUCUUUUUCUUCCGCUCAGGCAUCUCCUCUUUCUUGAUCCACUCUGGACUUCUCGCUCGCUUCUUCGACUGCUGCUGCAGCGGCUGAUCAUCUGGAACGUCUUCCACCACACACAAGGGUUCUGAAUCCAAAGACUUGCCACCCUCCAUCUUCACUAAAACGGCGUACACUUGGUCUUCCUCCUUCACGCCUUGCAAGCCCGACAGGACAUCAGGAUGCUCCCUUCUGAAUGCCAUCAGUGAAGAGCACAAGGCGUCGUAGUCGCUUUUGUUCAUUGCUCUCUGCUUCAGUGCAGUCGAGAUAUGGAAAAGGACGAGUGGGGGGUACACCGAGUCUAUCGGAGGGAAUGUUGCUGGGCUGCUAGGCUGUAGAUAGUGGAGGCCAGGUACUUGCAGGUUAAGACAGUUGCCUGAGAAAAACUUCACGUCACGCUUCUCCAAAUGCAGGCCAAUGGCAGCAUCAUUGACGCUACAGAAGUGACCACCCUGCGAGAGUUGGUGGUGAGCAUAGCGUUCGAACAAGACCCAAGCUGCACUCCGCAGUGAAGGCAGUGCCCGAGUGCACUCCAUCCAGUCCUUGAUCUGUCCCUUAUAGCAUGCAAUGGCAAAACAAUCUACAACCCACUCCGAAGUGAAGGAGAUAUGAUCCACACAGGUAAAGUCCAGACUUGGCCAGGAAACAGAGGUCUCUGGCAAAAAUAAUGCACGGUAAAUGUUGAGCUCUCCCACUUUCACAGCAUGGUUCACAGCCAUGCCUAUCAUGUUGUAUACAAGUUCCAAAGGCAUGAAGUAGUACCUCACGAUUGGCCCGGCUAUGUAGUACGUCACCCAGAAGUCGACGUGCGACUUAUCUGCGUUCUCGGGCGCCGAGAAGUAAACCUGCUGCAACUCCUCGACAGACCAAGGAGGCAUGUAGAGCGCAAAGAAGCGUCUCUCAUUGAUGAGUUUGAGUGCGUCCACCCAAUUCCUCUCCUCCGGUGAUGCAAAGAGCACAGUCUGUGUAGCGAAGUUCCCAACAAACUCCUGAUCCGUGAGAAGCCAAGCCCCCGGGAUUUCGUAAUCCUCUUUAGAACCGGGCGCGUAACUCCCAUCCGGUUUGAAGAUGUAAACCCUCUUCUUUUUUAUUUCGACGAGCUGAACUAUCACAGCCGGUAUCCCUUCUUCACUGAGGAGCCGUUUCAGGACGUACCACAGAAAGCACGAGUUGCCGAUUCCAGGGUUUCCUGAUAUGUGGAUGUAGCUCUUGCCCAGGCUUGCGAGCUCUCUCAUGUCGGCAUAGAGAUCCCCAUAGCAUUCCCGUAUCCACACUUUCCGCCUCCUCCUGGCGAUGGGAGGGAGAUCUAUCCACCUACCAUCAGGGUCUGUCGCUGCAUGCCCAUCAUCCCCAACUGGCGCUAUCGAUUCCAUCUGCACCGCUCUCCCGCUAGGGCCCUAAAGAGAGAAUAUACCUAUAUACUCCAGCUCAACUUAGAAAAUAUAUUUGUUUUAAAAAUAAUUAUAUCAAAUCAAACUUUUGUAAACCUUGUUGAGAGAUUCAGCGUGAUGCCAUCAAAUUCAACUUUAUCCAGACCUUUUUGGUUGACAUGACAUGGUUCCUUUUCUUUUUUAUCUUGUAUGUUUUGUAGAGCCAGAUUUUGCUCUUUGGAAUCCUGCUUAUAUGUGUAUUUGAAAGCCUCCCAAUCUUCCGUGACAGAUUCUGCAAGUUCCAGUAACGCAUCCCACGUAAAGCCUUGAUUGUUUUAUAUGAAAGAGAAAUAGCAAAUGCUCAAACCAAUACUUGUGUACAAAAAGAGCCCGUGACACCACCUGAGCUUGCAAGGAUGUCCUGAUGCCCUUCUUUGCAAAAAUCUGGUCACAAAAACCAUCAAUUGCUUCGGUUAUAUCAUUUACCACCUUGACUCUUCCUUUGGCCUUAAAGAGGAAUUAGGCAGUAUGGUGAUCAACGUUGCCAAAUCCUUGCAAGACCUCUCAGUCAGAGAAAUAACAGCCCAAGAGAAACAAUGGAAGCUAUAAAUUGUUCUACCUGGAUCACAAAAGAAGUUUGGUUCAAGAGAGAUUUGCCAUGGUUAGCAAGUAAUGCUUCAGUCACGUAUACAACUCCUCUUUCAGUGCCAGCCUCACGUCCUACAGAGCCACUGAGGUCCUGAGAAGCAAAACCAAUAUAAGAGAAAAAAUCACAUAAUCAUAAAAAUACAAGCUUACAAGUUGCUAUCCAGUGACUAUUGUUGGAGAGUACCCUUGAAACUUAGAGUAUUCAUCUAGAAUCCAAGCCAUGGUUUGUGAAGAAAUAAAUAUAUGAAAAUCCAUAAAAAAGGAAGAAAAAAAAUGUGAAAAAAACCUGAGCAUUCAUUCCCAUGUCAGGUGCUGGAAUAUACAAACAUCAACAAUGUUUUGCGUAAAAACUCAAGUGAGCCACUCUAACUCAUAUGGGGAUUAUAGUCAUAAGGCCCUCUAGUUGUCACGCUAGACUCUAAAACCCACAAACAAUUGCAUCAUGAGAAUGGUAUAUUCAACCUGCAAAUUUGAUUAAGAUCCAAAAGACUAAGAAAAAGCAAAAAGAAAAAGACCUUGAAGAAAUUUGCCUUGAUUUCUUGAAAAGGGCAGGAGGCUCCUCCCCAACUUUGAUUCCAAGUAUCUUUACAGUUUGCCUAAUGUAUCAAUUUGUAGCCUCUAGUGGCCUUAAGAGAGAUUCCCUAAAAUAUUUUACUAUAAAAAUAUUUUAAUGGUAUGAGAGAUAUUUUUAUAUUGCCCCUUUUCCCUUGGAGGAUAAAUCACAAAGUUUAGUUAAGUAUGUUGCCUCCAACACUUAACAUUUGGCAACUCUACUAAAGAAUAUUACUUCAUUCACUAUAGUUUCUUUUCUUGGGUAUAUAUCCUUGCUUUUUGAAAAAAUAAUAAAAAGAUGUUAAAAUAAAAGCUAAAAUAAUAAGAACCUUGAUAAAUGGCUAUAUUGAAUAGGAUGAAAAAAAAACACCACUCUAUAUAUACAAAAAAUGUUUGGGCUAAACCUUGAUCAAUGGCUAUAUUGAACAAAAUGAAAAGGGACAGUUGUCACAAGUCCUUCCUCCAAUCAAUGGCAAUUCUGUGCCUCACACACAUGUUUUCAUUUUAAGUUAUUAUCUUAAACGAGUUAUUAUCCUUAUAUAGUGUAAGGGUAUAUUGAUGGAUAAUUGAGAUAGGGACAUUGUGGAAAAAAUAACAUAAUACAAGUAUGUAUUAUGUUCAUGUAGUAGAUUAAGACCCAUUGCUUUCUUCCUCUAUAUUGAUUUUUCUAGCACAUUAUUAAAGCUUAUUAUUUAACAUAUGAAGCCCUGAAAUUUUUGUGUGGAUUUUAAGGGAAAGAAGAGUGGGAUAUGAUUGAUUGCUCUAUAACAAAAGCUGGAACACCAAAAGACUGGUGCAUUCCAGGAAAUCAACUACCUGUUUAUUUAUAUUGUUCUUGCAUCUCUUUUUUUUGGGUUUAAUGUCAUUACAUUAUAAAUUUUGGGAACAAUGGAUCAUGUAAUAGUAGACAUCCAGGUGAUACUUUCAAAAGUGAUACCUUUUGUGUACAAUAAAAAAUAGUGUAAUUGCACUUUGGUAAUAGUAUGGAUCAUAAAUUAGUAAAAAAAAAAGAUGAUAUAGUUGCGUACCGAUAUCCAUGAGCGAUUUUUACGAGGAUGAAUUGCGUAACCCCCGCCUACCGAGACGGGCAAACGUCCCGAAGCAAUUUGAUCAUGAUUCGAUUCAUGACGAUCAUAGGUUGAGGGUUCGUACUCUCCAGUCAUCGGUUGCACAUGUUACAUAAAGUGUCUAUUUAUGUGAGAUGUGCUGUGCAAUUAAAACAUGAUUGUAUGCAUAAUAAUUUUGUGUGUAAUUAAAAAUAAGAAAUAAGAAUAAUCUGAAUAAAUAAAAACUACUUAUUUUAAUAUCACUCGUGCCCAAAAGAAAGUCCAAGAUGCUUAGGGUAAGAAAAAAAAGGAAAUUUUGUUGAAACAAAAGUUUGAUUUGAUAUAAUUAUUUUUGAAAAAAAUAUAUUUUCUAAGUUGGAGCUGAAGUAUAUAUAUAUAUAUCUAUAUAGAGAGAAUCACAUAGGUAUAUUCUCUCUUCAGGGCCCUAGCUAGAGUAUGGUGUGCAGAUGGUAUUUGCGCAAGGUCCACUACUACUCGUGUAGUUCCUUAUUUCCUGGAUGCAUCUUAGUGUCCAGACCUUCCACUACAACAACAUGAACAAGACAUUGUUGACACCUAAGAAAUAUAAGUCGCCAAUCCAGAAAAUGCCAACAACACCGAUAAAUAUGACUAACUUUAUCAGACUCCCAACAAUUGACAUCACGACCAUAACCACAUCCUCGCCCUUGUCUUUGAACUCGGGCAACAGUAACAUCAACUUCUAUUGAAACAGAACCAUCUUUCAUAAGAAGUGAACUCUUGCUUCGUGCAAAGCUAAAUAUGUCAAAGUGGAUCAAGUUAUAAAUGUUGUGGCUAACAUUUUGUCAAAAUUUUGUAGGAUUUGUGCAUGCACUUGCUCUAACCAUCCUUGAUAAUGCCUUUCGUUUGACAUAACGUUAUGAGACAUUGCCUCUUCCAUUUCUCACUACACAUCCUUUAGCUCUACUUCCUCAAAUGCCAAAUUGCAUCAUCGACUCAUAUGACCCUUGACGAAUAUGAUGUAAUUUUUAGAAGGCAUCAUCACAAUCAUUAGUAUAUCUAAAUGCAUGUUUAAAUACGUCCAGGAAAAUAUUCCAAUCCUCACAAAUAGCUACGCUCAUACCAUUGUAGCACCAUCCCUUGGAAAUACAUGGGAAACUUAUGCAAACAUUGAGCAUCUUCCCAAAAAUGAUAUGUGGCAAUUAUCGUGAAGUGAUCAAACCAACAAUACACAUCAUUCCCAAAACUCCCAUUGAAUAACUCUAGCUGGUAGGGUUUAGGGUUUAGGGUUUAGGGCCAAUGUCAAGAGCCAUAUGAGUUGGUGAUGCAAUUUGGCAUUUGAAGAAGUGGAAUUGAAGGAUGUGUAGUGAGAAGUGAAAGAGGCAAUGUCUCAUAACGUUAUGUCAAACGAAGGGCAUUGUUAAGGAUGGUUAGAGCAAGUGCAUGCACAAAUCCUACAGCAUGAGGAAUUGUACUACGUGCUGUGAAUAUUGCCAUCAAUUAAGUUUGAUUGUUUAAUUGCAACUAUAUACCAUCAAAUAAUUGCACCAACUGCUACUCCAGUCAAAAGAGAAGGAGGUUGUUACUUUACCACAUAGAUGAAUGAAAAGAAAUAAAUAAAAGAAAAGAAGUUGAGAAAAGCUAAAAGAAAAGGGAAAUCUAAACAAUGGAUCUACCCAACAUUCUAAUUAAAAUUGCCUUUCAUCUCCAUCAGUGUGAAUGCAUGGAAUAAGGAAAGAGAAUAUAAAAAAUCUGCAUAUCAAUUAGCCCAAAAACCUUAAUUUAUAUAUUAAUCAAAAUUGAAACUAACCCAACGGCUACUAAAAUCCCACUAUGCUAAUAUUAAUAUACGACAUCAUAGUUGUACACUUGGACCUCACAAGGAGUGCUGCGCCACAACUUUGAUAGUUGUAUAUAUAUGGCAGAGGUACAUUAUUUUCUCUUCCUUUCUUUUGUUUUGGUUUGCAGUCUAAACCAGUAGAUGACUUGAUACAAACUCCAUAUCCUGAGACCUUAGCCCUUGACUGCACUAAAUGUCUCCUGAUGACAAAAAUAGCAAAGUGAUGAGAUUAUUUUAUUUGUUUACAGCCUCUUUUCUAAUUUCUCAGAGCGCUCAAAUGAUGCACCUAAACGAAAGUUGAGAAGUUGGAAAACACUUAAGCGAGAGUGUCUCUAGAGAGUGUGCCGCAGCUCUCUACCUCAAGUUGGCCGUUGUGCUUGCUUCUUCCAGAGGAGGAGGAGCUGGAGCGAGCUCGUCUAGUUCUUCCAGCUCACAAUCACCGCCUCCAUGGUAAAUUAUCGGCAAUCUUCCACAAAGGCACGCGGACUAUCCACGCUCUUGGCUGAAUGUGCAUGUUCCUCCAGAGUCCAGCUGCAAGGAACACGUUGCGGGGCAAUACAAUCUUGAUGAUUGUGGAGGUAGAUUGCACAGCCUGCAAGUCAAUGGUCACGGAGGGAUCUUGAUGAUAAAUGGCUUCAAUAUCUUGGAUUUUGUGGUUCCAGAUCAAGGACAUGAUAAAGGCUGCUUCCUUUCCCUACAGUUCCUGCAAUGACUGGCUCGUCUCACCCACUUUCGGCUCCUUCGAUCUGGAGCGCCACUACUCCCACGAAUCUGCUCAUCCCGGGCCCAGCUCGCCCACGAAUUGAUUUCCACGUGGCAUGUCCAGCUGUACUGAACCAUUUGAAUUUAGACGAAGUCAAAUACAUUCCAAACACACUUGUCAGCUUUAUACAUCUUAUCCCGCUACCCCUCAUCCGAUGGGAACACGAAUUUAAUUAACGUCGAGGUUCUCAGUUUCGAUCUGAUGAGAACAUCUACUGUGUCACCUGACCAUGAAAACUGGUAGACAACACCAGGAACAGUCAAGACUCCAAGCCUCUGUGUGUCCAUGUUGAGGAUAGUAGGCAGAGAAGACAUCACAUGUGUUCGAAGACGCUGGAAUAAAAAAAAAAUACAACAUUGACACAAAUACUAGAUAACUGAUGCCUACCUCGUUCACAAAAAUUGUCAACUCUUUCCCAGCUAGCUUACCAGCCGUGCACUUGAUACUCAAAGCAGUUUCCUCCUUCAAUUCAGUGUGUACUGUGGUCCAAACGGCUUCGAUCGAUAUGCCAAACACAGUCACGCCGUCUUCCAUCUCCUUGCAUUGUACGCUUCCCUUUCCUGUUGGAUUGUAAUGGGAUGCAGGAAGAGACCAAACAAAAUACCCAUAUAAUAACUUGCACGUACCUCCUCGCAUCAACACUGUUGGGAACUUCGCAUCCCCCGAUUUUUUGCUCAUGUCCCCAAACUUGAGUCCUCCAGUAUCAACUGUACCAUCCAUCCUCGAACGGACAAUGUCAAAGACCUCCUCGAUGGUUGAGCAGCUGAUCGAGCUGUUAACGUGAUCCUGCAUCUUGAGAGCAAUCGUCAUCUGGAAAGGCAGGUACGUCCUCUUUUUCUUCCGCUCAGGCAUCUCCUCUUUCUUGAUCCACUCUAGACUUCUCGCUCACUUCUUCGACUGCUGCUGCAGCGGCUGAUCAUCUGGAACGUCUUCCACCACACACAAGGGUUCUGAAUCCAAAGACUUGCCACCCUCCAUCGUCACUAAAACGGCGUACACUUGGUCUUCCUCCUUCACACCUUGCAGGCCCAACGGGACAUCAGGAUGCUCCCUUCUGAAUGCCAUCAGCAAAGAGCACAAGGCGUCAUAGUCACUUUUAUUCAUUGCUCUCUGCUUUAGUGCAGUCGAGAUAUGGAAAAGGAUGAGUGGGGGGGUACACCGAGUCUAUCGGAAGGAAUGUUGCUAGGCUGCUAGGCUGUAGAUAGUGGAGGCCAGGUACUUGCAGGUUGAGACUGUUGCCUGAGAAGAACUUCACGUCACGCUUCUCCAAAUGCAGGCCAAUGGUAGCAUCAUCGACGCUACAGAAGUGACCACCCUGCGAGAGUCAGUGGUGAGCAUAGCGUUCAAACAAGACCCAAGCUGCACUCCGCAGUGAAGGCAGUGCCUGAGUGCACUCCAUCCAGUCCUCGAUCUGUCCCUUGUAGCAUGCAAUGGCGAAACAAUCUACGACCCACUCCGAAGUGAAGGAGAUAUGAUCCACACAGGUAAAGUCCAGACUUGGCCAGGAAACGGAGGUCCCUGGCGAAAAUAAUGCACGGUCAAUGUUGAGCUCUCCCACUUUGACAGCAUGGCUCACAGCCAUGCCUAUCAUGUUGUAUACAAGUUCCAAAGGCAUGAAGUAGUACCUCACGAUUGGCCCGGCUAUGUAGUACGUCGCCCAGAAGUCGACGUGCGACUUAUCUGCGUUCUCGAGCGCCGAGAAGUAAACCUGCUGCAACUCCUCGACAGACCAAGGAGGCAUGUAGAGCGCAAAGAAGUGUCUCUCAUUGAUGAGUUUGAGCGCGUCCACCCAAUUCCUCUCCUCUGGUGAUGCAAAGAGCACAGUAUGUCUAGCGAAGUUCCCAACAAACUCCUGAUCCGUGAGAAGCCAAGCCCCCGGGAUUUCGUAAUCCUCUUUAGAACCGGGCGCGUAACUCCCAUCCGGUUUGAAGAUGUAAACCCUCUUCUUUUUUUCAACGAGCUGAACUAUCACGGCCGGUAUCCCUUCUUCACUGAGAAGCCGUUUCAGGACGUACCACAGAAAGCACGAGUUGCCGAUUCCAGGGUUUCCUGAUAUGUGGAUGUAGCUCCUCUCAUGUCGGCAUAGAGAUCCUCAUAAUUCCCGUAUCCACACUUUCCGCCUCCUCCUAGCGAUGGGAGGGAGAUCUAUCCACCUACCAUCAGGGUCUGUCGCUGCACGCCCAUCAUCCCCAACUGGCGCUAUCGAUUCCAUCUGCGCAUCAGGCCCUAAAGAGAGAAUAGACCUGAG